rnacentral:lncRNA from 1 species
CAAAGCAAAACCUACAUGCAACUUACUCCUGGUGUAAUAGCUCAGGGCUACUGGGGCAUGACUCCAGCUGCAUGCAGGUAGGAUGAAGUCUUUUCCAUCCUGUGCUGUCCUAGACUGCACCCUGUGUGUCCUUCUCCAAGAGCAGUUCAGCUGAGGAAUCUUCUAGAUGUCACCUCUUAGGUCCUCACAGCCGCCCUGCAGCACUCCCACUACACAGCCGGUGGCUCUGUUAGAAGGCAGCUCAGUGUCUUCUCCUUGGGAAAGACCUUCUCCAAACCUUGGCUCUCCCAUGGCUUUCAACAGGAUUCCUCAUUGCUCUGGUAUGCAAACAGGACGUGUGGAAAUUUGCUCUUGA